UUACAGAAGUAACAUACGAUAGUAAAUAUUCCAUUCUUGUUGCAUUUCUGAGCUAGCAGUCGUCUUAGCACAUAUUAGUUUUCACCAGAAGAAGAUACAGGAGAAACUAGGAAAGAAAUCCCUUAAAAUGCCUUCCUUGAAUAUGUCUUGUCACGACCUGUUUGACGAACGAGGAAGAAAAUGAUGGUCGGAAGUGCAAUCGCGUCUCUACGCUGCACUCGAUGGCUUAUCGAUCUUUGCAUUUCCGCGCACUAGCCCCAAUAAAUUUAUUUAUAAUAAUACGAGAUGCUGAUUGCCACAGCUUGAACUCUUGAAAUAAAAAGAAUAAAUAUACUGAGAGAAAAUCUGCAUAAAGUGUAUAUCUUUUUUAUAAAUAAG